AAACAGCCCCCUAUGUAUUGGAUCUUUGACACUUUUAGCCCCCAAGACCACUUUUGACUUAGUCUUCGCUGACGUGACAUCGACAAUGGUCGACACGUGGCACCUCACUUAAGGGAUAUGGGCGCCACGUCAGCGAAGACUAGGUCAAAAGUGGCCUUGUGGCCAAAACUGCCAAAGAUCCAAUACAUAGGCGGUUGUUU
rfam:Medicago truncatula strain A17 chromosome 1, whole genome shotgun sequence.